UGGGAACGUAGCCGAGAACGAAACAGAAGUGGAUCCAAUGGAGCUUAAUGAACGUGCCCCGGGAGGGAAGCACUCUCGUGUACUGCCACUCGAUGAAGAAAGAAACAGACACAGAAAGACACAGGAGCCUUCAUAAGGAAAUGAA